AGUCCUGCGUUCCUUUUUCUCCUCUUAGUUGCUCCUGUGGGAAUAGAGAUUAAUUGCUCUUACGAAGGUGAAAUGUAGUUAAAGUUUUCAGGCUCUCUCGCUGCUUCCUUUGACAACUGUCAUCAAUGCAGCAGCCGCACAUAUACUUUUAAGCGAUGUCCUUCGUGGCUUUCCAUAUAAGAUUAGCCUCAAGAGUUUUCUGAAAGUGCUUUAGUGACUGUGUAAGAAAUGCCUAAUAACUAAUUUGCUGAUUUUCAUUGUUCCGGCAGCGUAGGUUACAUUUAAUUUAGGUGAAUGGAACUGACAGCUUGAUAUGUGGUUCAGGUCAAAUUUAAUUUCCAGCUGAAAUUACCAACUUUGCAAACACAGCCUUGCCAGGAAUUUUGCCCCUAACCUGCCAGUGUUCUUGACAUUAACUGUUGGACCUGUUGACUGCAUUUAUGUUUUUUUUAGUUGGUGAAUUUAUCAUGAUAUUUAUCCUCACUGUUUCCAGGAAUAGUAUAUUGGAGCGUGUUUUCAAAUUGCAUUUGUGCUUAUAUUGAGAAUAUAAGAAGCCCUUACCAAAAGUCUAUUUAGUUCAGCAUAAUUUUUCUAUUGCCUCUGCCUUCCUGCAAAUGGCAAGUGAUAUUCUGCCUCUUGACAUGGAGCUUCCAUUUUACCAUGGUGGCUAAUAAGUGUUGAGUUUUAUCUAAUCCUUUUAUGAAACCUGUCUAAACUCCUGGCUGUGGCCAGACUGUGUUUUAGUUCUUUCUCCAAAGAUUCAAGGGAAGAUGGUAGUAUGAUCUGACGUCUACCAAAGAACACUUUUCAUGUAGCAAAAUCAGCCCCUAAUAAAUGCAAGAGCUCUAGAGUUCAAUUUUAUAAUGAAUAACAGAAAUAAGAGGGAAAGAGAGAAGCAAACUGUUGGUCUGUGUUCACAUUGAUUCCUCCAUUUAACUCUCUGGCAACUGUGUGCAGUCUUUUUGUAGAGUUAUAGAAUUGUAGAGUUUGAAGGCACCACAAUGGUCAUCUAGUCCAACUGCAUUGGGAUAAUGCAAUUAUCAUAGAUCAACUGUUUUUGCAUAUCUUGCUCCAUGGGUACCUGUUGAACCAGUGCUGGAUGAGUUUUUGUCCUGAGAUAGGGCCUAAAGGAACACCAGUAGUUUUUGAUGGACCAACCCUACAUGAAUGUGUCCAAUGUAAUUAAAACCCAUCCAACCUACUGAUAAGUGAUUGUUUGCAGAAGUACCAUUGGGGAAUCCACGUAUAAAGGGCAUAUUUAAAGGGCAUAAAAUCUGGUUUAAAUAAAAAAACAAAGCUUUAAAGGGGAGAAAAGGAGCUUUGAUAUUCUCCAGUAAUAAUUAGCACCUGGAUAGCAGCAGACCAUAGUGGAGUGGGGCACAACUGCCCUCUUGACACUGGUAUUGCUGCUGCUUACCAGGGUGGGGCUGAGGAGGGCAGCAGCACAGGUGGAGGUGCCUUGUGGAUGCACUGGAUUGGCGGCACUGUUCCCACUGGUGCAUCCAUGCAAAUCAAACUCACCAGAGCCCCAUCCAGGUAAGCAGCCACAAUGCCAGUGUCAGGGAGGUGGCUCUACAUCACCACACAUUCCAGUCCUGGCAGCAGACUAGAUACACUCGGUGUCUGCAGCUAACCCUUUAGUGGGCAUUAUAGGCUUAUAGCUCUUGGGAUGGUGAACACAGGAAAAGGAAGAAUGCUACAGCAAGUAGCUGUGCUCUGGUGUCACAGGCUCCUGUCCAGGUCCUCCCUGAUGUCCAUGUGUACAGAAUGAAUGACUGUAAAGAGUAGUUAUACAAACAAAGGCUUCUGUGGAAUCUGGAACCCUGGUUGUUUGCAUUUCCAGAUCCUGUGGAAGCCUUCCCAAGUACAGCUAUAGGAACAAGAGCCCCCGCUCCCUAAAAUAGUUCACACUGCAUGUACCGAAGUCUGGAAAUGAGUAGGAGAUGCUGUGGGUGGUUCAUGGCCUCACUCCUUGCUCCUGUAUUCAUCAACUCAGCAGAUACAUAGAGUGGCUGGGGCAACCUAGCCAGAUGGCUGGGGUAUAAAUAAUAAAAUUAUUGCUAUUAUUAUAUAGCACUUAAACCGGGCGAAAGUGGAGCAGACUCCCUCACUAUAGUGUUGUGCGUUUUCCCCUCAUCUAUACAUAUAAAAUGGCAUGUGCAAAUCUGUGUCCUCUUUUGUGGCGAUGCAUAAGUGACCUUGCGAAGUACAAGCCUCUGUCUGUCUUGAAUCUGCUACAAAUGAACUUCACGUGGGUAACCUUCAGUUUUUCUACUACGAGAAAGGGGAGGGGAAAACACUUCUCUCUAUCUGCUCUUCCCACAUUUUUAUGAAUUUAUGUACCAGUAUCAUGGCCUUAUUUGCCUUUCUUUCUAAACGGAAAAACCCUUAGUUAAGGAAGUGUGUGUCUUAAUUGAUCAGCUGUCGCCUGCACUGUACUCCUGCAUCUACAUCUAGCUGAAAGCACAGUUCACUGAACUCCAUGUGAGGAAAAAGCAUUAUAAAGAACUUGUCCUGUGAUCUCAAGAUGUUGCUAGGAAAAUGUAAGCAUCUCCAAGUACAGAACGCAAAGCUCACAGGGACAGAAGAAAUAAACAACCCUUAACAAAAUGUUGCUUUUAUGAGUAGGCCGUUGUUUGCCUCUGUCUCCUUCUAUAUAGUCUUCCUUUUUAAAGAGGGAACAGCAAGUAAGUGGCGAAGCUGAUAAAAGGCAAAUUUCUGUAGAGUGUUCUUGUGUCAUUAGGAUAGUAAUGCUCCUGUUCACACACCUUUGUCUCUCACCUAGACAAGCACUGUGACGCUAAUGAGCGAGAGCAACCAACUCAUUUUGUUGCACCUUUCCUCGCACAAUGCUGCUCUGUCCCCUUGUCAGGCAGGAAAAAAAUAAGGAUAAAAAGGAAAGCAGAUUAGCCUUUGACAGUAACAAAGGACUUAAAAAGGUGUUGAUGCUGUUUAAUGUGAAACUGCACUGGAUAACAUUUACGUUUAAGAUAAAACCGAGUACC